UGGGGGACAACAUUUGGAAACAGAUGCUAAUACCGCAUAACAGCGUUGUUCGCAUGAACAACGCUUAACCGAUGGCUUUUCGCUAUCACUUCUGGAUGGACCUGCGGUGCAUUAGCUUGUUGGUGGGGUAACGGCCUACCAAGGCGAUGAUGCAUAGCCGAGUUGAGAGACUGGUCGGCCACAAUGGGACUGAGACACGGCCCAUACUCCUACGGGAGGCAGCAGUAGGGAAUCUUCCACAAUGGGCGCAAGCCUGAUGGAGCAACACCGCGUGAGUGAAGAAGGGUUUCGGCUCGUAAAGCUCUGUUGUUAAAGAAGAACACGUAUGAGAGUAACUGUUCAUACGUUGACGGUACUUAACCAGAAAGUCACGGCUAACUACGUGCCAGCAGCCGCGGUAAUACGUAGGUGGCAAGCGUUAUCUGGAUUUAUUGGGCGUAAAGAGAGUGCAGGCGGUUUUCUAAGUCUGAUGUGAAAGCCUUCGGCUUAACCGGAGAAGUGCAUCGGAAACUGGAUAACUUGAGUGCAAAGGAGGGUAGUGGAACUCCAUGUGUAGCGGUGGAAUGCGUAGAUAUAUGGAGGAA
rnacentral:rRNA from 1 species